UUCACCAUAUAUACAUUAAUGAAUUUUAUUUUACUUGAUUUUUAGAAAGUAUUUCAAGUUCAUGUUAAAAUAUAGAAUGCUAUAUAUUUUAUUUCAAAUGUUUAGUAUUACACUAUUUAACUCACAUUAUGGAAUUGCUGGAAAGAGUUGCCAUCUUUAAACAUUAAAUAGGACUUCAUGCUUCCCUUGGUUUAAAUAGUUGGUAUCUUAUUAUAUGUAUUUACUUUGACAAGAAACAGUAUGUUACAAAAUCAAGACCUUUUGUUGAACUCAUGACUUCUCAAAAUCUCAGCAAAAGUUUAUCUUUCUAAAAUGUUGCGCUUCCUAAAUUUGACUACUGGUGGAGAGAAGCCAUAGACAAUUAAAUCGUCAUCGGGCAAUUUAGUAUUAUUUUAUUGACUAUGAAACAAUAAAACUAAUGUUGAGCAGGAGAGGGCUUGAGUAAGAAAAUAAAAUUAAAUGGCUGUAUUUCGUUUACUAGUAACUAACUUUAAACUGUAGCACUGCUAUAGCCUCCAAGAUCAUUAUUGCUACUCUUGCUUAGUCCCACACCGAUUUCCAUCAAGUUAACCUCCGACUGUCAGGAAGGGCAUACCGACCGUCAAUACAUUGUUGUUUUUCUCAAACAUUAUAUACCAAUGACUACGCGACACAAAACAUUAUUCUUUUUCUUUGAACUGUAAUUCAGGAACAGCUGAGUGACCAUGUAAAAUCUUCCGUCGUUGAUUUUUUUGUUAUUUUCUUUAGGCUCCAGGAUCUAUAUUAGUUACUACGUAUCGUAUUCCUAGGUUGGAAAAGUAGGAUUUUACAAUAAGACCCUAUUCGCUGAUUCAUGGAAGUGUAAUUGGGGAAUGAUUUUAGCAGCAGCAAUAGCUAUGGGAGGGAAGAAAAGGUUCCAUAAUGUAUUUCCGUUGAUAACUAUUUCCUUGACAGUUAAUAUUUUUACAGGGAAUAGUUACGGGACAUAAACGCAUAGCACAUACAGAGAAACAGACGCAUGCAAGCGCACAUGAACACCCCCGCGCGCUCAUACACGCCUAAAUACAGAGAGAGAGAGAGAGAGAGAGAGAGGAAGAGAGAGAGAGAAGAUAGAGAGAGAGAAAGAAAGAAAGAAAAAAGAAAGAA